CAAUAGCGUAUAUUUAAGUUGCUGCAGUUAAAAAGCUCGUAGUUGGAUUUCGGGUGGGAAUGGCCGGUCCGCCGUUUCGGUGUGCACUUGCUACGCCCACCUUGCUGCCGGGGACGUGCUCUUGAGUUCACGCUCGGGACACGGAGUCGGCGAGGUUACUUUGAGUAAAUUAGAGUGUUCAAAGCAGGCCUACGCUCUGGAUACAUUAGCAUGGAAUAACACGAUAGGACUCUGGCCUAUCUUGUUGGUCUGUAGGACCGGAGUAAUGAUUAAGAGGGACAGUCGGGGGCAUUCGUAUUUCAUUGUCAGAGGUGAAAUUCUUGGAUUUAUGAAGGACGAACUACUGCGAAAGCAUUUGCCAAGGAUGUUUUCAUUAA
rnacentral:rRNA from 1 species